GCGCCGCCCUCCCCGGCGGUUCCUGGCUCUGCCCCAAGCCUAGGGAACCCCAAAUCGCCGGGGCGCCCGGCCUCAGCCUAGCUCACUCCCACCUAUGCGUCUCGGCCCAAGCCAAACGGAGCUCUCCAACGACACCUCCUUGCUGGACCCGGGCAGGGGCGGGGGUUGGCGGGAAGGUUUCUGCGCCCCCCACCCCACCCCACCCCCAUAGCUGCGGGCGGGGAGAAGGUGCAGCUCCAGGAAGUGAGGAAACCCUGCGGAGGACCAGGUUCUUGCUUGCUGUCUUUUCAAGCUCAUCAAGGUUAAACGUGCUUGGACAGAUUGCAGUCCUUCCAAGGGGCCUCUGUGAAAGUUGCCUGAGUUGCAAUGGAAACUGUGGUCGUUUGAAUGUAUGGCCCGACCGAACUCAGCUUGAUGCUCAAGUCUCCAGUGGGUGGAGCUCUACCAGCGAAGAGGACAGGUCACUUGGAGUCCAGCCCUAAGGCUGUGUCUGAUUGGAUGCGUGUUCCAGCAAUGAGGAACUGACGGCCACAAGACCCCACCACGUUGGAGAUGCUGGAACCCUGAGGAAGACUGCAAGCACCCAGUGGAGCUGGCCCAGGGGAGGAACUAGGAGUGCGUCAGGUAAAGUAGCUGGCAGGUGAUCCUGUUCCAUGGCCUAGGGUCCCAGACUGAAUGAAAAGGAGGAAGAGAGCUGAGCACCAGCAUUCAUGUUUCUCUGUUUCCUGGUGUGAUGUGAUGCAACAUGACCAACCACCUCCUGCUCUUGCCCAUCCUGAGACGUGGUACCUUCAAAUGGUGAGACAAAAUAGGCCCUUCCUUCCUUCUUCAUUGGUCUUUAUCAGCUAUUUGUCCCAGUAAUGAGAAGAGUAACUGUCAGAGACGGACUUGGACUCCUGAUCACCCUGCAUGCACCUCCUGAGUGCUGGGAUUGCCAGCAUGCACCACCAUGCCUAGUUUCAUGCAGUGUUGGGCAUUGGAUCUGUAGCUAGGCAAACACUCUGCAUCUCCAGCUCCAGUCUGACAAAUCCACAAAACAUAAAGGAUACCUACAUGUGAAUAAUAAGAAGAAAAAAACAAUCUUAUUUUAAAGAAAUUGCACAAAGGGCAAAGAAAUCACAAAAAAAAAUGAUGGCUAAUAAACAUAAGAUAUACUCAGUUACUAUCAUAAGUAAUUUAAACAUACAAACCAAUAUUUAUUUUUGAGGUAGGGUCUCUGUCACUCUAGCCCAGGCUGACCUGGAAUUCACCAUGCA